rnacentral:rRNA from 1 species
CUUUUUGUAUAAUAAUUUAAAAUUUGACCUGCCCCCUGAUGAUUUAAUUGAAGGGCCGCGGUAUAUUGACCGUGCAAAGGUAGCAUAAUCAUUAGUCCUUUAAUUGUGGACUGGAAUGAAUGGUUUGACGAGGUAUUGACUGUCUCAUAUUAAUAAUUAGAAUUUAACUUUUAAGUUAAAAGGCUUAAAUGUUUUUAGAGGACGAGAAGACCCUAUAGAUCUUAAUAAUUUUAUUUUUAAUAUAUUUUUGGUUAAUUAUUUUUAUUAAAAGUAUAAUUAUUUUAUUGGGGUGAUGUAAAGAAUAAAAAAACUCUUUAUUUUUGAUAACAUUGAUUUAUGAUUAAUUGAUCCAUUAUUAGUGAUUAUAAGAUUAAGUUACCUUAGGGAUAACAGCGUUAUUUUUUUUGAGAGUUCUUAUCAACAAAAAAAGAUUGCGACCUCGAUGUUGGAUUAAGGUAAAAAUUGGGUGUAGAAGUUCAAUAAUAAGGUCUGUUC